GCCGAACCCGCUCGCCGCCCCCGCAUCGCUGUCGCGCUGAGAAGAUAAGGCAGAGUCCCCUCGGCUUCGUCAUCUCCCCUUCCCCCACCAGAUAUUUUCCCCACUCCUAUGCCCCUCCCUCUCUUCCCCCAGAUCCACCGCAACUGUGGCCGUGAACGCCGGCGCCCACGCGCCUCACCAUGCUCUACGAGCAUGUCCGCUAGGUGCGGCGCCGUCCUCUGCUUCGACUCCGACCGCUGGAACCAUUCAGGAGCGACCGCGUCCUCGGGAACGACCUCGACCACGCCUUCCUCGCCGGAGCUGCGCCGAGCCGCUCUGUCACCCUCCUGCGCUACUAAACUCUCACAGGCCUUCUUGAGCCGCCCGGUGAGCGCACCAUCCAGCCCCUCUCCCCUCUUGCCUCCUCGUAAGACGUAGCCCACCUCGUCGUCGCUCCUGCCCUGGCCGCAGUCGCCGCGGCCGCACCCAUCGACGCGCUCGCCCACAACCCCCCUGCUACGCCCGGGCCGCGUCGUGGCAGCUCCGGCCGCGCGCCCGGCCCAUCUACCGCGCCUGCUCUGCUCUGCAGAUGCUUGCUGCCUCUGCUUGCUGUUGUGCUGAUGCAGCUGCUGCUUUGUUGUUGCCGUCGUCAGGCCCUGCAGCCGCUCGCGACACCGCGUUCGCGUCUCGUUCCACCUCGCCUCCGGCCGCUGCCCUUGCGUGCCCCGCGCCGGCCGCGCGCCCGCACGCGCGCUACUGCGCUUGGCCACGCCCGCGCCACGGCUCUGCCCAGCCACCACUCCUCUACGAAGCCACCACUCCUCUACGAGUACUACUACUAGCUACUGUAGAUGUAGUUAGCUUUGCUAAAUCUACAAUGAGUAACCCCCUGGGCAGCACCUAAACAGAGAUUAAACAACUGUUAACAACGCUAAAAAUAAUAUGAGUAGAAAGUAUACUUGACAAACUCCAUUUUAUCCCACUGGACCAGACCCUUUCGAUGCAUGGAUUAAAUCCUAUGAAAAUCACAAAAUGCUAUCUUUUGUUAGCAGAAAACAGAGCUAUGUGUGGGUGAGUGUGUGUUCUGCAUAGUGUGUGUGCGUACAGUUGGCCAUGACCUGUGCUCCUGUGUGUGUAUGUGUGCAUCAUGCGUGUGGGCGGUUGGGCUAUUCCCAUUAGUGGCCGGCCGUAGCUUAGAUUAGUACUACUAGGUUUAAUUAGUGUUAAGUUAGUCUAGUAGUAGAUGACAUGUAGGCCCUUUUAAAUAAGUUAGAUUUGUUUAAUUGUUUAGGUAAAUAGUCUAUGACAUGUGGGCCACACCUGCCCUUUGACUAUUCAAAAUUAAUUUAGUCAAUUCGGUUUAAGUUAAAUAUAAUAAUCCCAAGAAAUCAAUUAAACUUUGAAAAAUCGUUAUAAAAUAAACCUCAGUUCGGAUGGAAAAACUUUGUACAUGAAAGUUGCUCAGAACGACGAGACAAACCCGGAUACGCAGCUCGUUCGUCCGCCACGCAUCCCUAGCAUAGCGAACACAUAACUUUUCUCCUUCGAUUCAUCUGUCCGAAAACGCGAAACACCGGGAUACUUUCCCGGAUGUUUUCCCCCUUCGCCGGUAUCACCUCCUACCGCGUUAGGUCACACCCGGCACAUCUUAUUGCCAUGUUAUGCUUUGUGGUGCUAUGUUUGCUUUAUAUUUAUUGUUUCUUCCACCUCUUCUCUUCGAUAGACUACGAGACCGACGCUGCUGCCGCCCCGUUCGACUACGGAGUUGACGACCCCUCCUUCUUGCCAGAGCAACCAGGCAAGCCCCCCCUUGAUCACCAGAUAUCGCCUACUCUUCUCUAUACUACUUGCAUUAGAGUAGUGUAGCAUGUUACUGCUUUCCGUUAAUCCUAUUCUGAUGCAUAGCCUGUCAUUGUUGUUACAACUGUUGAUACCUUAACUACAAUCCUAAAUGCUUAGUAUAGGAUGCUAGUGUUCCAUCAGUGGCCUUACACUCUUGUCCGUCUGCCAUGCUAUACUACUAGGCCGUGAUCACUUCGGAAGGUGAUCACGGGCAUACACUAUAUACUUUACACCGUUACAUUACCGGUGAUACUGUUUGGAGAUGGGGGCUGAAGGGGCAGGUGGCUCCAUAUCGGUAGAGGUGGGCCUGGGUUCCCGACGGCCCCCGACUGUUACUUUGUGGCGGAGCGACAGGGCAGGUUGAGACCACCUAGGAGAGAGGUGGGCCUGGCCCUGGUCGGUGUUCGCGGAUACUUAACACGUUUAACGAGAUCUUGGUAUUUGAUCUGAGUCUGGCUAUUGGCCUAUACACACUAACCAUCUACGCGGGGACAGUUAUGGGCACUCGACGUCAUGGUAUCAGCCGAAGCCUUUGUGACGUCAGCGACUGAGUGGCGCGCGCUGGAUUGGACCGUAAGCCUGCUGUUGUAUUAAGGGGGCUAGUUCUGCUUCCGGCCGCGUUCGCAACGUGCAGGUGUGCAAAGGGCGAUGGGCCCAGACCCCUGCGCCAUAGGAUUUAGACCGGCGUGCUGACCUCUCUGUUGUGCCUAGGUAGGGUUGCGACGUGUUGAUCUUACGAGGCCGGGCAUGACCCAGGAAAGUGUGUCCGGCCAAAUGGGAUCGAGCGUGUUGGGUUAUGUGGUGCACCCCUGCAGGGAAGUUAAUCUAUUCGAAUAGCCGUGAUCUUCGGUAACAGGACGACUUGGAGUUGUACCUUGACCUUAUGACAACUAGAACCGGAUACUUAAUAAAACACACCCUUCCAAGUGCCAGAUACAACCGGUGAUCGCUCUCUCACAGGGCGACGAGGGGAGGAUCAUCGGUUAGGAUUAUGCUAUACGAUGCUACUUGAUGCUACUUGGUGAACUUACCAUCUACUCUCUCCUACAUGCUGCAAGAUGGAGGUGGCCAGAAGCGUAGUCUUCGACAGGAUUAGUUAUCCCCCUCUUAUUCUGGCAUUCUGCAGUUCAGUCCACAUAUGAUACCCUUAUUCCAUUUGAUACCCAUGCAUAUGUAGUGUAGCUCCUUGCUUGCGAGUACUUUGGAUGAGUACUCACGGUUGCUUUGCUACUUCUUUUUCCCCCAUACCUGAUUGUUGCGACCAGAUGACGGAUCCCAGGAGCCAGACGACGCCACCGAUGACUACUACUACCCGGAGGAUGCCUACUACUGCUUGAAGACCAAUGACGAUUUGGAGUAGUUAGGAGGCUCCCAGGAAGGAGGCCUUGCCUUUUCGAUCGUUGUUGCUUUUGUGCUAGCCUUCUUAAGACAAACUUGUUUAACUUAUGUCUGUACUCAGAUAUUGUUGCUUCCGCUGACUCAUCUUUGAUCAAGCUCUUGUAUUCGAGCCUUCGAGGCCCCUGGCUUGUAAUAUAAAGCUUGUAUUAUUUUAAUUUGUGUCUAGAGUUGUGUUGUGAUAUCUUCCCGUGAGUCCUUGAUCUUGAUCGUACACAUUUGCGUGUAUGAUUAGUGUACGGUCAAAUCGGGGGCGUCACAAGUUGGUAUCAGAGCCGACUGCCUGUAGGAAUCCCCCUUCCAAACUCCUUGGCCGAAGUCGAUUCUAGACAUUACAAAACUUUUUACUAAC
rnacentral:lncRNA from 1 species